rnacentral:rRNA from 1 species
ACACGACUACAUUAGAUACCCGCGUAGUCCAGGGUGUAAACGCUGCGGGCUUGGUGUUGGGGGUCCUUAGUGGGCGCCCAGUGCCGGAGAGAAGUUGUUAAGCCUGCUGCUUGGGGAGUACGUCCGCAAGGAUGAAACUUAAAGGAAUUGGCGGGGGAGCACCGCAACGGGAGGAGCGUGCGGUUCAAUUGGAUUCAACGCCGGACAACUCACCAGGAGCGACGGUUACAUGAAGGCCAGGCUGAUGACCUUGCCUGAUUUUCCG